GAUGAACGCUGACAGAAUGCUUAACACAUCAGCAAUUGAUUGGUGGCGGACGGGUGAGUAACGCGUAAAGAACCUACCUCACAGUUAGGGACAACAUUUGGAAACGAAUGCUAAUACCUAAUACUGUGAGAGAGCUUUGUGUCCCAUUGGCUAGUUGGAGCGGAAACGGCUCACCAAGGCGAUGAUGGGUAGCCGGCCUGAGAGGGUGAUCGGCAAAGAGGGGGCUGAGAGACGGCCCUUACUCCUACGGGAGGCAGCAGUAGGGAAUAUUGGACAAAGGAGCAGAGUCUGUUCCAGCAAUUCUGUGUGAACGAUGAAGUUUUCGGAGUGUAAAGUGCUUUCAGUUGAGAAGCGGUACCAACAGAAGAAGUGACGGCUAAAUACGUGCCAGCCGCCGCGGUAAUAC
rnacentral:rRNA from 1 species